CCAGAACCAGAAAACAAAAUGAAAACCAAAAGCAUCCCUGCUCCUCAAGAAAAAAACCCCCAAAAUUGAAGAAGACCUACUGUGAAGUUAAGUAAAUACAGAAAUACAGAAUAAAAAUUCUGUAAAUACAGAAGCACGAGAAGGGAGCAUUUUAUUGUAAAUGAGUUGAGCAAAAUAAAAUUUGGCAGACAGAGUGGGAAUUUUUAAAUCAUUCAGGUGACUUCUUUGGAGAGAUGAAUGAUGAGAUCUCUACAGUAUCUGAAGACAAUUCUGGAUGAAAGAUGCUGCAAGAAUGCAAGUCACUACCAGUACUGUAUUUCUCUGUUUUAUGUUGCUUGCACUGCCUCAGAGGACAUAUCCUG
rnacentral:lncRNA from 12 species